GGUUGUGGUGGCAGUCCUGGCACUGGAAGCCCUACAGAUAUGUAAGUGGUUGUGGGGGCAAUCCUGAAACUGGGAGCCCUACACAACCACUUACACAUCUGUAGGGCUCCUAGUGCCAAGACUGCAACCACAACC